rnacentral:lncRNA from 1 species
ACUUCUGAUGAAACGUAACAUGGUUAUUGAUGGUCAUUGUGUUUUUGAGGAAAUGUUUUAGUACAAUACCUGAGGGAAGGGAAGGAGUUAUUGUGAUAUAAUAUAUUCAUUUGAACCUUGUUUACCACACCAAGCGUUAUUGAAGAUCAAGUUCCUUUCUGCAUAAAUACUGACCACACAAACACAGAUGAGGAGCACAAGUCCACUCCAGGAGAGAAACUAGUGUUCUUGAUGACAACAAAACCAAAAGAAAAUUACAACCUGCAAAAUGCAGAGAGAAAAUGGAAAAAGGGCUUUGCAAAUACUGAUGUUAUUGUAACACUUGUCUAAUUUUUUUAUUCAUUGUGUUUUAGUUGUCGUUUGACCUCAGUCUGUUUAGUUACUCAUUCUGUUCACCUGUUAUUUAGUUCAUUGUCUCAUUAGUUUCAGUGUAUUUAUGACCUUCAGGUUUUGUGUAAGUCAGUCUCUGUGUGUGUGUGUGUGUGUGUGUGUGUGUGAAGGGGAGGAUUUUCUGAAGGUAUUUUUGAGUCAAAUCGACUGAACACCUGUGACAGUGUGUUUGUAGUUGUAGAGAAAAGCCACAUGUGUAUCAGUAAGUUUGAAGUCAGAGAGAAAUGUUUUAAGAGUUGCGAACCUGUAGACUUUUUAUCUCUCCCACAAACACAACACAACAGUUACACCUUCUCAAAUUCUUCAUUGCAGGUGCACAAAUCCUAUUCUACAGAUCACAAAUUAUCUACAUAUGAUCACCUUGGUCAAGACAAUAAACUGCGUAAAAUUGCACCUUUGUCAGAUAUCAGUCAGCAUUUUAACUGCUAUGUGUGUGUUCGUGUAUUUUGUAGUUUUUCCAUAUGUAUCAUUACAUUAUUCAAGUAAUCUCCAAGCCAGUACCUGCAUUUAAAGUUGUAAUCCGACAAAGGACACAGCAAACCAGUGUAAUUUACCUGGCCUCGGUCAUGGCUAAGCCUGCGGUACAUCACCUCCUCCACUUUGACGUAAAACAUAAAAACAAAAACGAGCCGUUCUGGCUCCUCCUAUCCUGACAGUCCUCUCUUCAGCUCUCCUCUGGCACCGUUGCUAUGCGACAGAGCGCUAAUCGGAAACACCAGGUGGAGGAAUUAGGAAAUCCUGCGAAGGCGGAGCAUCUCACGCAUUUCGGAGGGCCCUUCGUGCACUUUGGAGACCAGGGGCCCGUUCUUCGUACGUCGCUUAUUACAUCCGAGAUCAAAUGACACAUCCAAGAUGAUAUGAUCGUGCUAAUCCUGAUCCGGCUAAUUGGGUUCUUCGAACACACCUGUUGUGUAUGAUUAGUAUCGCUGGACUGAGUUAUCUGAGAUAAUUGCGCGUUCAUGUGUUGUCUUAAAAGGGGAUAUGUAUCAAUACUCGAAUCCAUGAUCGAUUGGUGCGAUUGGCUGGUGGCAAGACGGCAAUGUAAUGACGUCAUAUAAUUUAAAAUGACACCUGAUGAAAAACUUGACAAAUUUCUGGACUUUUAUAAGGAAACAGCCAAGCAAACAAAACUACAUAAAUGUUAUAAUAGAUACAUGAAACAGAUAAUAGAUACAUGUUUUUAUUUUAUUUGAAUUUUUUCAUGAUUCACAAUUAUUUAGAUUCACACGUUAUAAUAGUUGUGCA